AGAGAGAGACAUGCGCGCAUAUCAAUAAGCGGAGGAAAAGAAACUAACAAGGAUUCCCUUAGUAACGGCGAGUGAAGCGGGAAGAGCUCAAAUUUGAAAUCUUCAAGGUUUUACCUUGACGAAUUGUAGUUUAAAGAAGUGUUUUCUGCUGAAGUUUUGGUAAAAGUUCUUUGGAAUAGGACAUCAUAGAGGGUGAGAAUCCCGUAUUUGACCAUUAUUUUCAGCUUUGUGAUACACUUUCAAAGAGUCGGAUUGUUUGGGAAUGCAGUCCAAAAUGGGUGGUAAAUUUCAUCUAAAGCUAAAUAUUGGCGAGAGACCGAUAGCGAACAAGUACCGUGAGGGAAAGAUGAAAAGAACUUUGAAAAGAGAGUUAAACAGUACGUGAAAUUGUCAAAAGGGAAGCGUUUGACACCAGUGUUGUUUUCUCGAAAAUCAAUUAAAAAUGGCUCGAUUUUGUAUUGCUUGAGACCUUAAAAGCUCACUGUACAUUUUUCGUGUCUUUUUUAAUGCACUUUUCGUUUAACAAGUCAACAUCAGUUUCUUUUGUUGUAAAGGGUCAUUGGAAGGUGGACUUUCUUUUCGGAGAAAGUGUUUAUAGCCUUUGGCCUCUGCAAUCGGAAGAGACUGAGGUCUGCAGCGUAGACUCUUCGGGGUUAGAUACAUUUGUGCUAAGUUAUAGCCUUUUAUAGACAACUUGUUGGCUAUGAUCAGUCAUGUAGCUUACUCGCUUAUGCUAUUUUACCUACGCUUAGGAUGUUGAAGAUGUAGCACAUCAU
rnacentral:rRNA from 1 species